UACGUAGGGGGCGAGCGUUGUCCGAAUUUACUGGGCGUAAAGAGCGCGUAGGCGGGUUCUUAAGUGAGAGGUGAAAGGUUCAGGGCUCAACCCGAACAGUGCCUUUCAUACUGGGAGCCUUGAGUGUGGGAGAGGCGAGUGGAAUUUCUGGUGUAGCGGUGAAAUGCGCAGAUAUCAGGAGGAACACCAAUGGCGAAGGCAGCUCGCUGGGACGGUACUGACGCUGAGGCGCGAAAGCGUGGGGAGCAAACAGG
rnacentral:rRNA from 1 species